rnacentral:rRNA from 1 species
AGAGUUUGAUCCUGGCUCAGGAUGAACGCUGGCGGCGUGCCUAACACAUGCAAGUUGAGCGAUUUACUUCGGUAAAGAGCGGCGGACGGGUGAGUAACGCGUGGGUAACCUACCCUGUACACACGGAUAACAUACCGAAAGGUAUGCUAAUACGGGAUAAUAUAUUUGAGAGGCAUCUCUUAAAUAUCAAAGGUGAGCCAGUACAGGAUGGACCCGCGUCUGAUUAGCUAGUUGGUAAGGUAACGGCUUACCAAGGCGACGAUCAGUAGCCGACCUGAGAGGGUGAUCGGCCACAUUGGAACUGAGACACGGUCCAAACUCCUACGGGAGGCAGCAGUGGGGAAUAUUGCACAAUGGGCGAAAGCCUGAUGCAGCAACGCCGCGUGAGUGAUGAAGGCCUUCGGGUCGUAAAACUCUGUCCUCAAGGAAGAUAAUGACGGUACUUGAGGAGGAAGCCCCGGCUAACUACGUGCCAGCAGCCGCGGUAAUACGUAGGGGGCUAGCGUUAUCCGGAUUUACUGGGCGUAAAGGGUGCGUAGGCGGUCUUUCAAGUCAGGAGUGAAAGGCUACGGCUCAACCGUAGUAAGCUCUUGAAACUGGGAGACUUGAGUGCAGGAGAGGAGAGUGGAAUUCCUAGUGUAGCGGUGAAAUGCGUAGAUAUUAGGAGGAACACCAGUUGCGAAGGCGGCUCUCUGGACUGUAACUGACGCUGAGGCACGAAAGCGUGGGGAGCAAACAGGAUUAGAUACCCUGGUAGUCCACGCUGUAAACGAUGAGUACUAGGUGUCGGGGGUUACCCCCNCUAUUACCGCUACUAAAAUUUAAUGUGGGCCAUUAGCUCAGUUGGUUAGAGCGCCCGGCUCAUAACCGGUAGGUCUGGGGUUCGAGUCCCUGAUGGCCCACCACAUUAAAUUAACUUAUGGUGGGUAUAGCUCAGUUGGUUAGAGCGCCAGAUUGUGGCUCUGGAGGUCGUGAGUUCGACUCUCAUUAUCCACCCCAACUUAUAUGGUCUAUUAGCUCAGUCGGUAGAGCACCUGACUUUUAAUCAGGGUGUCCCGCGUUCGAGUCGCGGAUAGAUCACCAAAAAGGCGGCGACAUAGCCAAGUGGUAAGGCAGUGGACUGCAACUCCUUGAUCCCCAGUUCGAAUCUGGGUGUCGCCUCCAAUAAAAUGCGCUCAUAGCUCAACUGGAUAGAGUGUCUGACUACGAAUCAGAAGGUUAGGGGUUCGAGUCCCUUUGGGCGCACCAUAUGAAUAGCGAGGGAUUAUAGCUCAGCUGGGAGAGCACCUGCCUUACAAGCAGGGGGUCACAGGUUCGAGCCCUGUUAAUCCCACCAGUGCAAACCUCUAGUAAAACUACUAGAGGUUUUAUUUUUGAUUGAAAAAAUUUUUAUAUUUAGGAGGUAAAAAAUUUGUAUAUAGUAAUAGGAAAUGAAAUAGUUGAUAGUGAAGAACUUAAAAUAAUUAUAGAUAAAAAUAGUGAAUUUAAAGUUGAAAAAGAUUUAAGUAAAAGCACAAAAAGAGAAGAUGUAAUAGCAUAUCAGUUAAGUAUAGAUUUAAAUUACCUAGAUUCUCUUAUAAAUGAGCAAUGUAAUUUAGCCAGUCUAUCUGAUGAAGAGAAAUUUGAUGAAUAUAUGACUUUGUCUGAUGAACUUGCACUGGAUUUAGAAGAGUUAAUGCCAAAAUAUACAAUAAUAAAUGCUAGAGCAUAUAAAUUAGACGAGGUAUAUGGAAUUGUAAAAAUAAUACUAGCUGUAGCGUAUGCAGAUUUAGGGCACUUAAAACUUUCUGAUGUAGUAAAGAGGCUAUCUAGACAAGUAGAUUAGGAUAUGAAUAUGAACUAUAUUAAAAAAAUGUAUAAAAUCUUACGUAAAGAUGAAAAUAAUUAUGUAAACAUAGAAAAAAACAGUAUAAAAUCAAGUCAAUUGUAGAAAUUUUCACAUAAAUUCAUCUGAAAUUCUAUAAAAAAUGCCUUAAUUUUAAUGAGGUAAAUCGAGUUUACACAGUCUAAAAAUUACUUAUAUUUAUAAAUUUAUCUUAUUAAUUAAGGAACUUUCUUAAACAUCUUCAAAAAUAAAGUAUUUUAGUCUAUAAUCUUUAAUAUUACACAAACAAUAAAGGAGAAGAAUAGAGUAUGCUUAAAAAGUUUAAUAAAAUACUAGUGGCUAAUAGAGGCGAAAUAGCUAUAAGAAUAUUUAGAGCCUGUUCAGAAUUGGGGAUAAAAAGUGUUGGUAUAUACAGUAAGGAAGAUAAGUAUGGAUUGUUUAGAACAAAAGCGGAUGAAUCAUAUUUGAUAGGAGAAGGUAAAGGGCCAAUAGAUGCAUAUUUAGAUAUGGAUGGAAUAAUAGACCUAGCAAAGAGAAAAAAAGUUGAUGCUAUACAUCCAGGAUAUGGUUUUCUAGCGGAGAAUGCAGAAUUUGCUCGUAAAUGUGAAGAGAAUGGAAUUACUUUUAUAGGACCAUCAUCUAAGGUAAUGAAUAUGAUGGGGGAUAAGAUUAACUCUAAAAAAAUCGCAAAAGAAGUUAAUGUUCAAACUAUACCAGGAGUAGAAAAAGCAAUAAGAAGUACUGAAGAAGCAAAGGAAGUUGCAAACAAAAUAGGAUAUCCUGUUAUGAUAAAAGCAUCUAAUGGCGGUGGCGGUAGAGGUAUGAGAAUUGUACAUCGCGAAGAAGACUUAGAGCUUGAAUAUGAAACUGCUUGUAGUGAAUCAAGAAAAGCUUUUGGAGAAGAUAUUAUAUUUAUAGAAAAAUAUAUAGCUGAUCCAAAACAUAUAGAAGUUCAAAUAUUAGGUGAUAAUUAUGGAAAUAUAGUUCACUUAUAUGAAAGAGAUUGUUCAGUUCAAAGAAGACAUCAAAAAAUAAUAGAAUAUGCACCAGCUUUUUCGUUAGAUGAUAAAGUAAGAAAAGAGAUAUGUGAAGAUGCAGUUAAGUUAUCAAAACAUGUGGGUUAUUCUAAUGCGGGAACAUUAGAAUUUUUAGUAGAUGCAAAUGGUGGGCAUUAUUUUAUAGAGAUGAACACAAGAGUACAGGUUGAACAUACUGUAACAGAGAUGGUUACAGGAAUAGAUAUAGUUCAAAGUCAAAUACUAAUAGCCCAAGGUUACAGCUUAGAUAGUGAAGAAAUUAAUAUAAAAUCACAAGAUGAUGUGGAAAUAAGAGGUUACUC